rnacentral:tRNA from 1 species
GGGCCGGUGGUCUAGUUGGUUAGGACGUCGCCCUAAGUAGGCGAAGAUCCCCGGUUCGAAUCCGGGCCGGCCCA